rnacentral:ncRNA from 2 species
ACUAUAUGUAGUGUUCGAGGUUCCCUUCGAUUCGUAGCAGGAUCGGGGGCUAAGACGGGAAUUCGGUAGCGGACAUGAUGUCUGUGAAGCCGAGGCUGCCCCCGCAACUGUGAACGGUGAGCGCUUUCUCCAUCAUGCCACUGGGUUUUCCCGGGAAGGCGGAGAGGGUGCUGAGACCCGUGAGCCAGGAGACCUGCCUUGAUCGUAACGUCCGC